rnacentral:rRNA from 1 species
GACGAACGCUGGCGGCGUGCUUAACACAUGCAAGUCGAACGGAAAGGCCCUGCUUUUGUGGGGUGCUCGAGUGGCGAACGGGUGAGUAACACGUGAGUAACCUGCCCUUGACUUUGGGAUAACUUCAGGAAACUGUGGCUAAUACCGGAUAGGAGCUCCUGCUGCAUGGUGGGGGUUGGAAAGUUUCGGCGGGUGGGGAUGGACUCGCGGCUUAUCAGCUUGUUGGUGGGGUAGUGGCUUACCAAGGCUUUGACGGGUAGCCGGCCUGAGAGGGUGACCGGCCACAUUGGGACUGAGAUACGGCGCAGACUCCUACGGGAGGCAGCAGUGGGGACUAUUGCACAAUGGGCGGAAGCGUGAUGCAGCAACGCCGCGUGCGGGAUGAGGGCCUUCGGGUUGUAAACCGCUUUCGCCUGUGACGAAGCGUGAGUGACGGUAAUGGGUAAAGAAGCACCGGCUAACUACGUG